AUUGAACGCUGGCGGCAUGCCUUACACAUGCAAGUCGAACGGUAACAGGUCUUCGGAUGCUGACGAGUGGCGAACGGGUGAGUAAUACAUCGGAACGUGCCCGAUCGUGGGGGAUAACGCAGCGAAAGCUGUGCUAAUACCGCAUACGAUCUACGGAUGAAAGCGGGGGAUCGCAAGACCUCGCGCGGACGGAGCGGCCGAUGGCAGAUUAGGUAGUUGGUGGGAUAAAAGCUUACCAAGCCGACGAUCUGUAGCUGGUCUGAGAGGACGACCAGCCACACUGGGACUGAGACACGGCCCAGACUCCUACGGGAGGCAGCAGUGAGGAAUAUUGCGCAAUGGGGGCAACCCUGACGCAGCAACGCCGCGUGAGUGAGGAAGGUUUUCGGACCGUAAAGCUCUGUCGAGCGGGAAGAAAUGCAUGGUGGCUAAUAUCCAUCAUGCUUGACGGUACCGCUAAAGGAAGCACCGGCUAACUCCGUG
rnacentral:rRNA from 1 species